rnacentral:rRNA from 1 species
GGGAAACUGGGUCUAAUACCGGAUAUGACUCCUCAUCGCAUGGUGGGGGGUGGAAAGCUUUAUUGUGGUUUUGGAUGGACUCGCGGCCUAUCAGCUUGUUGGUGAGGUAAUGGCUCACCAAGGCGACGACGGGUAGCCGGCCUGAGAGGGUGACCGGCCACACUGGGACUGAGACACGGCCCAGACUCCUACGGGAGGCAGCAGUGGGGAAUAUUGCACAAUGGGCGAAAGCCUGAUGCAGCGACGCCGCGUGAGGGAUGACGGCCUUCGGGUUGUAAACCUCUUUCAGUAGGGAAGAAGCGAAAGUGACGGUACCUGCAGAAGAAGCGCCGGCUAACUACGUGCCAGCAGCCGCGGUAAUACGUAGGGCGCAAGCGUUAUCCGGAAUUAUUGGGCGUAAAGAGCUCGUAGGCGGUUUGUCGCGUCUGCCGUGAAAGUCCGGGGCUCAACUCCGGAUCUGCGGUGGGUACGGGCAGACUAGAGUGAUGUAGGGGAGACUGGAAUUCCUGGUGUAGCGGUGAAAUGCGCAGAUAUCAGGAGGAACACCGAUGGCGAAGGCAGGUCUCUGGGCAUUAACUGACGCUGAGGAGCGAAAGCAUGGGGAGCGAACAGGAUUAGAUACCCUGGUAGUCCAUGCCGUAAACGUUGGGCACUAGGUGUGGGGGACAUUCCACGUUUUCCGCGCCGUAGCUAACGCAUUAAGUGCCCCGCCUGGGGAGUACGGCCGCAAGGCUAAAAC